UUCUUUUUGUUUAACAUAUUUCCCUUUUUGAAACCCUAACGCUUUGGCUCCUCGACACUCUUCGGCUGAGGGGAUCAAUCUCGAGCUUCAAUGGAACUACCUCAAUGUCACUGAAGGUGUUUCUCCUCUGUGAUAUUAAACAUCACAUGUCAAUUGGUUUACUCAUCCACCAAGAAUCAUGAUUUUGAGCUGAUUCUUUGAUUAAUGGGGUCUUCUCUUCUGAUGGAGGCAGCAGGCUUGCUAGCAGCGCCCAUUUUAAUAGUUUCUCUCUCUCUCUCUCUCUCUCUCUCCCUUUAGUAAUAAAAGUUAUCUUAUGUUUGGUAUGGUAGGACAAAAAUUCACUUAUCUUCAUAUGUUUUCAGGAAGUUGGUAAAGUUUUAAAGUAAGACUUUAAUGAAUCUCCUUAAUGAUUUUCUAAUCUAGGUUCAGGUUGAAAGAAAAUUAUCGAUGAGAAAAAAAGUGAUUAGUUUAUUUCAAUUGUUGUUGGUUGGUCUCAAAUUUGUCCUUUUUUUGGGUGUAGGAUUUAUUUUGUUUUUCAAAUAUUUUGAAGUUUCAGCUGACUUCUUUUGCAUGAUUGAUAAAAGUUUGUGUUUUUUAUUUGAUUUUCAUCUGGGUCAAUCUUCAUAAUUGAUGGGUUUAAAUGAAUUUUCUAGAGAAAACUUUCUGAUUUAUUUGUGAAUUGGCUUCUCGAAAAUUAUGCUCUUGCUAGAUCCAUUACCUAUUAGCGUGAUUUUGCCAUUUGUGGGCCUUCGUUCGGUUUGCAGUAUCAUAUAUUUUGAAGUG